UCUACCUAGUAGUACGGAAUAGCCAUUAGAAAUGGUGGGUAAUACUGUAUAAUCCCCGAGGGGGAAAGAUUUAUCGCUAUUAGAUGAGCCUACGUUAGAUUAGCUAGUUGGUGAGGUAAUGGCUUACCAAGGCCUAUGAUCUAUAGCUGGUCUGAGAGGACGAUCAGCCACACUGGAACUGAGAUACGGUCCAAACUCCUACGGGAGGCAGCAGUGGGGAAUAUUGGACAAUGGGCGAAAGCCUGAUCCAGCUAUGCCGCGUGAGUGAAGAAGGCCUUCGGGUUGUAAAACUCUUUCAAUAGGGAAGAUAAUGAC
rnacentral:rRNA from 1 species